rnacentral:rRNA from 1 species
AGUGAACGCUGGCGGUAGGCCUAAUACAUGCAAGUCGAGCGGACGCACAGUAAGCGUUCGCCUUUACGGGUGGCGAGUGGCGGACGGGUGAGGCAUACAUCGGCAUCUUAUUUUUCGUGGGGGACUUCGUGGGGCCACUUCUGCUACUACCGCAUACGAUCUACGGGUGGAAGCAGGGGAUAUUCGCGCUUUGCGUGAUAGAUUGAGACGAUGUCGGAUUAGCUAGUUGGCGAGGUAAAGGCCCACCAAGGCGACGCUCCGUAGCUGAUCUGAGAGGAUGAUCAGCCACACUGGAACUGAGACACGGUCCAGACUCCUACGGGAGGCAGCAGUGGGGAAUAUUGGACAAUGGGCGCAAGCCUGAUCCAGCCAUACCGCGUGAGUGAAGAAGGCCUUCGGGUUGUAAAACCCUGUUAUUAGGAAAGAAAAUCAGCAUAUGAAUACCCCGCUGUUCUGACGGUACCCAAAGAAUAAGCACCGGCUAACUUCGUG